CAUCACUUUCUGGUGCUGCCUUUAGUUCUUUCACUGUAUAUUAAUUUUUCAACAGGAUAACCUUUUGUUUCCACUAAUAUGUCCUGAGUGGAAUGCUGAUGAGGAGAUAUUACUUCUGGAGGGUAUUGAAAUGUAUGGACUGGGGAAUUGGGCUGAAGUUGCAGAACAUGUUGGAACAAAAAGUAAGGCGCUCUGUAUUGAGCAUUAUAACACCAUCUAUAUGAAGUCGCCUACCUUUCCUCUUCCGGACAUGUCUCAUGUUAUUGGAAAGAGUAGAGAGGAACUCCUUGCUAUGGCCAAAGAACAUGCUGAAAUCUGUAAAGGUUAGCUUAUCAAAAUAUACGAGCAUUGAAAUUGAAAAUCUUGCAAGAGAAAAUUAAAUGUCCGGCAUCUUUUGUGUA